UUGUAUCAGUGGAGUCUCAGUGGAGUAUAUUUGUUUUCCAUAGGUGGAUCUAAAAAUUUUCAGAUGAAAGUAACAAGAUCUAAUUGAGCUUUUGGAGGUAGCUGUACUCCCCCUUCCCCUUUUUUGUUGAUGUAAUUGUGUCUUUAGGGAAAGGUGAGUAGAUCCAACAAUGGCUUGGCCCCCUGUGUUAUCCAGUGGACCUGUCACAAGGACUUACAAUGUGUCUGACUGACCUAGCUGUCUAUUGUUUUUUUUAUAAAAAGCAUCUCCAACUGUAGUUAGGGGAGAAAAGGCGCAGUUUCAGUCCACUUGCUUCAAGCUGAGAAAGGUUGAUGUAGGCAAGACUGCUGGUCGGCCUCUCUUCAGGGAGCUAAUUUAAUAGGCCUUAAAUAAAAAUCAUGUUGUAACUUAGCCAUUAUAAACUCUCUAUAUAAAGUCAAUCUGGUGGAUUUUGGUUAAAAAAAAUCUAGCACAUUUGUUAAACUUUUUUUUUUUUAAUUCUCUAGAAUUAAAUUGGGACAUUAAGGCAGUGAGGUAACAAAUGUAAAAAAAAAUUAAGGGCAGUACUGUACUUUUUUGCCCAUAAAGACAUUACAGUUAUAUGUUAGGAAAAUGGUUCCUUUAAUCUCAAAUGUGGAGAAGUCCAAGAACCAGAAACUCAGGCUGUGGGUUUGGUUUUUAAGGAGGUGAUUUUGGUCUUGCAGGACUGUACAGGGAGGAAAUGUAUGAAUGAGACUGCACUGAGCUGUUGAAUAUUAACAUUUGCAUGCGUAUGGCUUAUAACUUUCAUUUUAGAUCUUUGCUGAAAGAUGUUUAGGUCUGGAGAAAACAAAUAGAAGAGCCAGGAAAGCAAAAAGGGGAAAGAGUAGUUUGUGUAGAAUCUUCCUACUGCCUGGCUGCUGCUCUCUGAAAGCUGCGAGCCCUGUAGCUGCCACAGCAGGAGUGAGUCAGCAGUGUAGCUGGAAACUGUCAGUAGGGGCCAGUAACCGGAGCCCCUUCUCAAAUCCAGCCCUACCACCGUGGUCUUGACUUCACUAAUCUUUGGAUUACAUGCCUCAACUGGGUGAUCAACACCAAGCCAAGUACCGGGGAUUGAACUCAGGACCUUGCCCUUGUGAG